UACGUAGGGGGGCGAGCGUUGUCCGGAUUUAUUGGGCGUAAAGAGCUCGUAGGCGGUUUGUCGCGUCUGCUGUGAAAGACCGGGGCUCAACUCCGGUUCUGCAGUGGGUACGGGCAGACUAGAGUGCAGUAGGGGGAGACUGGAAUUCCUGGUGUAGCGGUGAAAUGCGCAGAUAUCAGGAGGAACACCGAUGGUGAAGGCAGGUCUCUGGGCUGUAACUGACGCUGAGGAGCGAAAGCAUGGGGAGCGAACAGG
rnacentral:rRNA from 1 species